GCUGCGAGCCGCGUUUGCGGAAACAGAGCAGUAUCCUGGGAAAAUCAUAAAAGGAACCGUACCAGAUGUGUUAACAAUAUGGCCUCAGUUUUCUUAAUUCAUCAGCACCCUUGAUGAGAAAACUGAAAGCCAAUGUGGUUCAAUAAUUUUUCCAGGACCAUUUCAAGAAGCAGUGGGGCUGAAUCUAAAGCAAGCUGUCUCCAUGCAGAGCCCGUGCUUACCAUCAUGACUUUGUCUCAUGCACACACAGACACUUACCAGUUAUAACAACACUACUGUGGUCAUGCCUUUGCUCUUGACUUUCCUCUGUCUGCUGAGCCUACUUAUUCUGUUCCCUCCCACCAAGAUUUCUGAGUGAGCUUGCCUCAUGCCCAUUCCACCUGGAAGUCUUAUCUCUGAACUGCACUUUGCACUCAGAGAUACAACGCAUCAUGGGGAUCUUCCACGUUUCCACAUGGCUCCAACUGUAUGCAAAAACCAAGGUGGAAUCAUACAUCAAGAAUUAGUGAGCUCACCAGUUAAUAUAACAUCAUAUUUUAGUUUCCAUUUGGGUCUAAGCUGUCACAGAAUUUAGAGAAACAUUUUUCCUAAUCGUUACUGGAGAGAUCAGUAUAGUUAUUGUGAAUUAUUUAAAUCACGGUUAUGCUUUAACACAUGAGCACAGUAAUUUUUCUAUGCUGAACUUUUUUCUCCAUAUUUUGGUAGUGUAAUAAGACCCGUGUGUCCUUCACAUUCAUCUUUACUCUGGGUUGGUUUCAUUUUAACCUAUAAACUUGGUCUUCUAUCUGUGGUAAAAGAAAAAGAGCAAAGUUAUAUGCAAUGGCUACUUUUUAAAAUAAAAGAAAAAUGAGGGUUAAGGAAAGGACUUCAAAGUUAAUUUACCAAAAUCCAGCUACAAUCUUGACCCUUGAAGACCCCAAUAAGGCAUUAAUUACAAACGGAUUAACACUUUCUCCAUUGUAACAAUGGAGUCCUCUGUCAAUGGAAAGUGAUAACAAUAUUUGCAUUUAUCCAUUAGCGUGGGAUUCAUAGAUUAUAAGGAAGGUC